AGUUCCAGUGGUGGGAGAAGGCUGUUCCUCCAACCCCCACCCCAAAAAAAAAAAAACCACAAGAAUUUACAUCAACCACACAUAAGAUGGAACUGGAAUGAACAAUAUAGGGUCAUCAAUAAAAUGGGCAAUAAUUUGGUAAUUGAAAUGAAUGAUGAUAGAACUAAAUCUAUGUCAUAAACAAAAUGAAUUCCUUAGAAAACAAAAAGUCCACGGGAAACAAUAUAUUCAGUUAUUAUCAACCGUUAAAGUCAUUCACCACUACUCUAUUUGUUGUUUUGCUAUGCUAAACUACAUAAUGAAACACUAAAUCCUAGUCAACUGCUAUUUCAAAUCCAUAUAUGCAUGAAGGACUGCUUAAAAUUCACUUGUCAAUAAGCUGGAAGCAUGUAGACUGACCACAUUUCACCAUGAACUCAGAAAAUUAAAAACUGAAAAAUAAAAGUUAAUGAUUGAUGGCCAACAAUUGUAACUCAUUCUGGAUUCUACAAAAGGAUCAGAGGCAGCACAGAUAAGCACCACCAAACAGUAGUGGGUUCAGGAAUGAAAACUAGAACUGGGGCAUGAAACAAUAAUUCAUAUGAUGUAAAAUGAAGUAGGCAUUGAUGAAUUGCAAACCUAGAACUUCUCAUAGAUAAGUUUCAGCUAGCCCUUGCCCAGUAGCCUUUGGCUUCAAAGCAACCAAAAACCACAAUAAGCAACAGAAACGUGGAUCUUAUUUAGACACGAUGCACGCCAUUUAGACAGUAGUUUUAAAUUUAUAAAUUUCUGUUAAUCUUUUAUCAACACUACUCAGGAAAACUUCAUUCUAAAACCUAAAUCACACAACUAGUAAGACAACCCACUUGCUCUAAAUAACUUACUAAACACACAGUCGCUUAUACAAAGAAGUUUCCCUCUGAUAAAAAACAAAGGGGAAAACAACUACGACCAUAGCCAGCAGAUUUAAAUGACAUUGUUUUAUGCGUUAAAUUAUUGCGACCUCAGAUUUCUCCCCUCGUGCAACCACACAAGUAAUAAACAAUAAAAAAGAAUACUCUUUUACCAAACACUCCUUUUCCGAAGACCUUCAAAAUUGAGCUCAGAAAUGCUAAUAAUGUAGUUAUUGAGUCAGAAUUCAAACAAUGAUAUACCAAUGGUUAUAUUAAUAAGUUUUCGUUUCAAUUAAAAAUCUCCAUUUAACUGCAUUACCAAGAAAAAUUGCAAAUCAAAAUAAUCGGCCAAAAAAAAAAAAAA
rnacentral:misc_RNA from 1 species